UACGUAGGGCGCAAGCGUUGUCCGGAAUUAUUGGGCGUAAAGAGCUCGUAGGUGGCGUGUCGCGUCUGCCGUGAAAGCCCAUGGCUUAACUGUGGGUCUGCGGUGGAUACGGGCAGGCUGGAGGCUGGUGAGGGCAAGCGGAAUUCCUGGUGUGAGCAGGUGAAAUGCGCAGAUAUACAGGAGGAACACCGGUGGCGAAGGCGGCUUGCUGGGCCAGUUCGUGACGCUGAGGAGCGAAAGCGUGGGGAGCGAACAGG
rnacentral:rRNA from 1 species